GAUGAACGCUGGCGGCGUGCCUAAUACAUGCAAGUCGAGCGAACGGACGAGAAGCUUGCUUCUCUGAUGUUAGCGGCGGACGGGUGAGUAACACGUGGAUAACCUACCUAUAAGACUGGGAUAACUUCGGGAAACCGGAGCUAAUACCGGAUAAUCUUUUGAACCGCAUGGUUCAAAAGUGAAAGACGGUCUUGCUGUCACUUAUAGAUGGAUCCGCGCUGCAUUAGCUAGUUGGUAAGGUAACGGCUUACCAAGGCAACGAGGCAUAGCCGACCUGAGAGGCUGAUCGGCGACACUGGAACUGAGACACGGUCCAGACUCCUACGGGAGGCAGCAGUAGGGAAUCGUACGCAAUGGGCGAGAGCCUGACGGAGCAACGCCGCGUGAGUGAUGAAGGUCUUCGGAUCGUAAAACUCUGUUAUUAGGGAAGAACAGAUGUGUAAGUAAAUGUGCACAUCUUGACGGUACCUAAUCAGAAAGCCACGGCUAACUACGUG
rnacentral:rRNA from 1 species